rnacentral:lncRNA from 1 species
ACUGCAUUAAUGUGAUCCCCUGACAGUGUUCUCUAGAAUAAGCAGGCCCAGCUUCCAGUCUCCCCUCAUAAAAGAGAAGCUCCAGGCCCCAAAUGAUCUUUGUGGGCCCCCACUGGACCCUCUCUUAUAGCUCCUUGUCUUUCUUGUACUGAGGACCCCAGAAUCACAAGUGUGCCUCCUCACUUAAAAGCAGAUAUGCUGGAUAAAUGCCUUACUCCUUUGUAGCAGAUUUUCUUCCAAUGCAGAAAUAAGUUUUUUCAAUUGUAUCUUCCAAUUUAGAGACUUGUCUUUUAUGUUUUUUAAUCCAAAAUUAUUUUUUAAUGUUUUCUGCUAAACACCAAAUAAAUAACUAAAUUAAUUAAUUAAUAGAAAUACAAUAGCUUUCCUGACCACCAAACAGAGAUUGGUUUAUGUUUCUGAGCUUCUGAAUAUUUGUGAUUGUUCACUGCUAGGCUGUAUCAGAACUGCAGUGUUUGAGGAAGGGAAGGCAGUUUUGCAGAACAUGCUGAAAAGUUACAUAAGACACAAUCGUGAUUACACUGUUUUAAUUCUGUUGUGUACAAAACGUAUUUACACUGACUUCCAGAAAGGUUAACUUCCAUAACAAUUCUCUAUAUGUGCCACAUGAAAAACAAAGGACUUAGUGCCCCGUUUGUGCAUUCUGGGUCAGGAAAUGCUGGAAGUGUCUAUUUCUAGAAAAUGGUAGCUGGCUGUACCUGAGCCCAAUGUUUUCCAUUGCUGCACAUCAUGAGACUCUUGGUGAACAAUUCCCUGGACAUGGGAGGUUCAAAUUUCUGAAAGGCUUAGCCAGGUCUUUUAGCAUGCUGUUUAAGAAGAAAAGAGAGAGAAGUCAGUAUGUACUGCAUCGGUACAGGACAACACAUAAAUGUCUCAAGGGCACAACUUUUCUCCUUCAGGAUGAACUGUUAGAGCAAAGGACAGCCUUCCAGCAGCCCUGUAUGUAUGGAAACACAGAGGACAUUUUGAAGGGAGAAGAAAGUAGUCAGGAAAGAAGUUCAAUUAUUUAUGGAGAGCAGAUGGAUUUAGCAAACCUGCCUGCUGAGACAGAGGCAUGACUGUGCAAAUCAGGUCACACUUUCUCUGCCAGGAUGAGUUUCUUUUUUUAUCCCACCUGUCCCUUCGUUGCAUUUGGAACCAGCUUGCCUGAAAUAAAGGUUUAAUAUAAAAGAAAUUGCCUCA